AACCUAGCACACCUGCGGUGUGUACCUGCGGAGGGAUCAUUACCGAGUGCGGGUCCGCGUGGCCCAACCUCCCACCCGUGCCUAUUGUACCCUGUUGCUUCGGCGGGCCCGCCAGCCUUCGGGCUGGCCGCCGGGGGGCGUCUCGCCCCCGGGCCCGUGCCCGCCGGAGACCCCAACAUGAACCCUGUUCUGAAAGCUUGGUGUCUGAGUGUGAUUGUUUGCAAUCAGUUAAAACUUUUA
rnacentral:misc_RNA from 1 species